UGAGGAAUAUUGGUCAAUGGGCGAGAGCCUGAACCAGCCAAGUAGCGUGCAGGAUGACGGCCCUAUGGGUUGUAAACUGCUUUUGUAUGGGGAUAAAGUCAGUCACGUGUGAUUGUUUGCAGGUACCAUACGAAUAAGGACCGGCUAAUUCCGUGCCAGCAGCCGCGGUAAUACGGAAGGUCCGGGCGUUAUCCGGAUUUAUUGGGUUUAAAGGGAGCGUAGGCUGGAGAUUAAGUGUGUUGUGAAAUGUAGACGCUCAACGUCUGACUUGCAGCGCAUACUGGUUUCCUUGAGUACGCACAACGUUGGCGGAAUUCGUCGUGUAGCGGUGAAAUGCUUAGAUAUGACGAAGAACUCCGAUUGCGAAGGCAGCUGACGGGAGCGCAACUGACGCUUAAGCUCGAAGGUGCGGGUAUCAAACAGGAUUAGAUACCCUGGUAGUCCGCACAGUAAACGAUGGAUGCCCGCUGUUGGUACCUGGUAUCAGCGGCUAAGCGAAAGCAUUAAGCAUCCCACCUGGGGAGUACGCCGGCAACGGUG
rnacentral:rRNA from 1 species